AACGAACGCUGGCGGCAGGCCUAACACAUGCAAGUCGAACGCUCCAGCAAUGGAGAGUGGCAGACGGGUGAGUAACACGUGGGAACCUACCCUUUGGUUCGGAAUAGCCCAGGGAAACUUGGGGUAAUACCGGAUAAGCCCUUUGGGGGAAAGAUUCAUCGCCGAAGGAUGGGCCCGCGUCGGAUUAGCUAGUUGGUGGGGUAACGGCCUACCAAGGCGACGAUCCGUAGCUGGUCUGAGAGGAUGAUCAGCCACACUGGGACUGAGACACGGCCCAGACUCCUACGGGAGGCAGCAGUGGGGAAUAUUGGACAAUGGGCGCAAGCCUGAUCCAGCCAUGCCGCGUGAGUGACGAAGGUCUUCGGAUUGUAAAGCUCUUUUGGCGGGGAAGAUAAUGACGGUACCCGCAGAAUAAGCCCCGGCUAACUUCGUGCCAGCCGCCGCCGUAACAC
rnacentral:rRNA from 1 species